CCCAUCGAUCCAGAAAAAUAUGGUGGUUCAUUCUCAAAUAAUAAAUGAUGUGUCGACUAACAAAGAUGGGACCAGCAAAUCAUCUGAUAUUCCUGUUGGUUUUGCAACUCGAACGAAGGAUCAUACAAAUGUUAUGUCGACAAGAACGACGCAGUCAGGAGGGCUCCCACAAUAUAUGUUGACAUUUUCUCUUGGGAAGCUGCAACACAAUUUCCAAUAGCAACACAGACAGCAAGAGGAGGGGCAAGUUUCUCUUGCUACUGUUACUGACUGUCCAUUUGAGUAUCAAUGUUAAUUAUUAUAUAUUCUAAGCUGAAUAUUCUGCGGAUCUUGGCAGAUGCAAUGGGGCUUGGGAAAACUGUGAUGACUAUUGCUCUGAUUCUUGCAAGGCAAGGCAGAGGUACCCUGAGGAUUAAGAAUCGAUUGCCAAAAGUGAGGGUGAUACAGAGUACAUCAAGAAAAAGAAAGGAAUCUGAUCUCAAACCUUUUAGAAAAGUGAAAGGCAGCACCCUCAUUAUUCGUCCUAUGGCGUUGCUUGGCCAGCGGAAGGAUGAACUUGAAACACACUCAAAGCCAGAUAGCAUCUCCGUUUCUGUCUUUUUUGGUGGGGAUCGGAGCAGUGACCCUAGAGUGAUUGCUGAACCUAAUGUGAUCUUGACCACAUACAGUGUCUUAACGGCUGCUUGAUGGGGAGAAUAGCAUUUUCCACAGAGUUGACUGGUACAGAGUGGUUUUGGAUGAAGCUCAUACCAUCAAGUCCUCUAAAACUCUAGGUGCCCAGGCUGCCUUCAAAUUGUCAUCCUAUUGCAUGUGGUGUCUUACUGGUACCCCUCUUCAGAACAAGUUGGAAGACCUUUAUAACCUACUUUGCUUCUUGCAUGUUGAACCAUGGUGUAACUAGGCUUGGUGGCAAAAACUGAUUCAGAAGCCAUAUGAGAGUGGUGAUUAUAGAGGGAUAAAGCUGAUCAAGGCUAUUUGGAGGCCACUAAAGCUCUACUAUUUACAGACAGAAGUGAUUAUCAUUUCUUUUAAUGUAAUAACUGUUUCCUUCUAUUUCUUCAACAGCUUAUAGUACUUUCU